UACAGAGGGAGCAAGCGUUGUUCGGAAUUACUGGGCGUAAAGGGCGCGCAGGUGGGUCUGUAAGUCAGGCGUGAAAACUAUCGGCUCAACUGAUAGAUUGCGUUUGAGACUGCAGGUCUUGAGUAUGGGAGAAGAAGGUGGAACUGUGUGUGUAGCGGUGAAAUGCGUAGAUAUACACAGGAACACCAGUGGCGAAGGCGGCCUUCUAUCCCGAUACUGACGCUGAGGCGCGAAAGCGUGGGGAGCAAACAGG
rnacentral:rRNA from 1 species